rnacentral:tRNA from 1 species
AGUAUUAUGUCUGAUUAAAGUGAUAAGCUGUAAACUUAUUUAAGAAAUUUAAAUUUCUAAUACUA